GAUGAACGCUGGCGGCGUGCCUAAUACAUGCAAGUCGAGCGAACAGAUGAGGAGCUUGCUCCUCUGACGUUAGCGGCGGACGGGUGAGUAACACGUGGAUAACCUACCUAUAAGACUGGGAUAACUUCGGGAAACCGGAGCUAAUACCGGAUAAUAUAUUGAACCGCAUGGUUCAAUAGUGAAAGACGGCUUUGCUGUCACUUAUAGAUGGAUCCGCGCCGCAUUAGCUAGUUGGUAAGGUAACGGCUUACCAAGGCAACGAUGCGUAGCCGACCUGAGAGGGUGAUCGGCCAAAUUGGAACUGAGAACGGGUCCAGACCCCUAGGGGAGCAAGCAGGAGGGAAUCUUCCGAAAUGGGCGAAAGCUUGACGGAGCAACGCCGCGUGAGUGAUGAAGGCCUUCGGAUCGUAAAACUUUGUUAUUAGGGAAGAACAAAUGUGUAAGUAACUAUGCCCGUCUUGACGGGACCUAAUCAGAAAGCCACGGCUAACUACGG
rnacentral:rRNA from 1 species